rnacentral:rRNA from 1 species
CCUACGGGUGGCAGCAGUGGGGAAUAUUGCACAAUGGGCGAAAGCCUGAACGAGCAAUGCCGCGUGAACGAGGAAGGUCUUCGGAUCGUAAAGUUCUGUUGAAGGGGAAAAAGAGCGGAGAGAGGAAAUGAACUCCGAUUGAUAUUACCCUUCGAGGAAGUCACGGCUAACUACGUGCCAGCAGCCGCGGUAAUACGUAGGUGGCGAGCGUUAUCCGGAAUGAUUGGGCGUAAAGGGUGCGUAGGCGGCCUGCUAAGUCUGGAGUGAAAGGUACGGGCUCAACCGGUACAGGCUCUGGAAACUGGCGGGCUAGGGAGCAGGAGAGGGCGGUGGAACUCCAUGUGUAGCGGUAAAAUGCGUAGAUAUAUGGAAGAACACCAGUGGCGAAGGCGGCCGCCUGGCCUGUUGACUGACGCUGAGGCACGAAAGCGUGGGGAGCAAAUAGGAUUAGAUACCCCUGUAGUC